UGUGUAAUGUAAUGGAUUCUUUGUAUAAAGCCCAAAACACCUGCCUUACUUGCUAAAUGGACAUUCAGCUGUUCUUUGGGAACCUGAGCUUCGGUAUGAUUGACAAAACUCCAUACCUUGUAACUCAUUUUUAUCAGCUCUCAUUCCCAAGAGGUUAGACUCUGUACUUCAUACGGAGAACUAGUUAUAGCCCAGUUACUAAGCUCAGCAUAUCACCUCAGCCAUGAGCAUUGCUAUCUAUUCUUUCUAAUAAUUCCUCACAAUAAACUCUGGCAUGCUUAUCUAAUCCAAUGCAAGCUGACCCUAAUCCAAUGCAAAUCUUGAAGACUGACUGUGCAUAGCUGGCCAUCCCAAUGUGUCCCUGGGCAUGCUAUGCUGGGCCUCAGUCCACUUACUUUCCUUGAGGACCUGAUAUGAAGUCCCUGUGUUCCACAAAUCCAAGCUCGUCUUCUAUUGUGAUUGGCAUCACAAAUAGAUUGAAUUUAAUUCCUUGAUCAAAUUUCUCCCAUGGCCUUCACAUGGUAUUUUAUGGCAUCUCAAAUAAAUAGGCACAUAGCAAUAUAUAAACACAUUACCUUGAAAUUUAACAUAGGCUCUCCCCAAAUGCAUUAUACUUUCUAGAUAUGAGUCACUCAUUCGCUGAAUAAUAGUUUUCUAAGCCCUCUAACAGGAAAACAAGCAUUGAAAAAGUCAAGAACUAUAUCUUCCAGUAUUAGAGUUUUCAAAAAUGUAUGUAAGAAAUUGACGUUUUAAGAAGAGAAAUUAGACAUUUAGUUUUAUGAGCUUCAGAGUUGGCUACUUGAAGCUUUGGUUAUGCAGAUUGCUUGGGUGACUGCUAACAUGUUGAUGGCAGAAUUUAGAAAGACUAAAUCUAACUGAGCCUCCCCCGCUGUUUCCCCAUGCAACUACAAUAUACUCUGCAUGUAUUUCUAGCACCAGGCAAUCUACAUUCUGGAAAAACCAGAUCACAUAGGUCUCCCCAAAUGUUUUACCAAUGUCUUCAGGCUGCAUCCUCUGCCUGGAAUGUCCUUUACACCAAUUUAUACCUAGGCUAUUUUUUAUCCUGGCACUUGUUUUUCUUUGCUACCAUCACCUCAUAGAGGCUCAUCUGCAAAUCCAGAUCCUCAAGCUUGGUAAAACCCAGCACCAUCACCUGGCUAUUUCUUUUGUGUAAAGCAUCUUACAGUACACUCUAUAGACAAAGCAAUUGACAGAAGAUGCCUUGAACCUGGGUGGGUGUUGAUUAUGGUUUUGAAACAGCUGAUAUGAGAAGCUGGUUGGUUACUUUCUUCCAUCUUCACCUACUUAAGCAUUCAAGUUAGCAAUGGAUAGCUUAGACUAAUGCAUAUGUCUUGUUAUCAAUCCUUAAGAAAUAUUUAAUAUUCAAAAAUGAAUAAAUGUACGUUUAUCCAAAGACACCUAUAAUGUUUAUUAAUAUUUGUAAAAUAAACGAAAAUAUACUCUGUCACAGACAAGUGGUCUAUGAACAGAAUCAAGUCUGUACUAGAUGGUAAAGAAAGAAAAUAUCCUAUUUCUCUUUUUCAGUCUCUCAAUUUUCCAUUAAACUGCCUUCCCCAAGCUCUGAUCUCUCUCUGAUUUCUCUCAUCUCCAAAUCAGGCAUCUAGUCCCCCAUUAUCCCUACUGAAAAUGGCAGAAUUGUUUUCCAUGUACUCGGUCUUAUGACCUUGGGAAUUGGUCUUCAGUGCCAAUUACUAUGACAAUUAUUUCAAUAUUCAUCUCGUGCUGUCAGGAAAAAAAACCAGGAAAGCACUCUCUUCUCCUAGGAUCACUAUUUCCUUUCAGAUAUUAAAUGAAUGUGAUUUUUAGCAGUUUUUAAGAAAAUACCUCAAUCUUAUUUUUUAUUCUUAACAUUUACCUUCUGUAUUAUUUAGCUCAGUUCAGUAAUAAAAUCAUAUUUAAAUGCCUUUUUCUUUUGUAUUUAAACAACUUUAGACAGUUCAAAAAGUCCUUAUUGUAGAGUCAUAGUUUUGAUAUUUCUUACAUGGCUUUUGUUGUAUUUUGUUUGAUCGGACCUAGUUCUCUGUCACCAAAGGGCACUUACUAAUUAAGUCUCCUGCUUUAACACCUCCCAUAUUUGAGUAUCUUUAAAAAUCUCUAUUUUAUAUCAUCAAAAUUGAGCCAUCAUUUGUUCAAUGUGAACUACUCUUUACUGUUCCUUCUAAGACUGCUCUGUACCUUAAUUGGGAGGGAGGCUUCUUUAUAAUCUCCCACUGAUUUGCUUUGGCUUUUUUUUAGCACUGUCAACUCUACUAACAUGAGAACAUUAAUUAAAUGUGGUUGGUGACAAGAGGCUUUGUGGGGAUUCUGUAAAAUUCAUAUGUCCUAUGUCAAUGAUUGACAAGUGAGAGUACAUUAGAAUCACUGAGCAAAACUCAGUUUGCUGGGCCCUAGUCCCAUACUUCUGAUUUGGUACGCCUGAAUUUGCUCUAAAAAACUGUAUUACUGAAAAAUUCCAAGCACAUGCAACUGGUCUUGGAACCAUACUUUGAAAAUAAAUUUUCAGACUGCAGUCUCAGUAUACUCUAAUUUUAAUUACUUAAUCCAACAGGCAAUCAAUAUCCCAAAGAGUGCAGAUGAUUGGAAAAAAAAAAUACUAUUGAAAGG